CGGACAGCGUUCCUUCUUGAAGUCAGAUCAGUGGCUAUAGACUGCUGUCUCUCAGCCAUUUGGGGCACUCUCAUCAUGUCCAGAUUAAAGAAGACCUGGGAAUGUUUUAUAGCAUCUCUCCACCUGCACUUUUAAUCUCCGAGCCCAUGCAUUGCUGAUACAUAUCUGGGUACUUCAGCUCUGUUGUUCUCUGCAAUUGUUCUUCGUUAUUUCUCUGCAGAAGCCACUGUGUUCAAGGCAGGAGGACUUCCGCCAUGCCAAAAAACCUCUCCAUACAUGCUUCAACAUUCAGAGGCCAGCCUACCAUCUCUAGGUGACCACACACACUGUGCGGGAGGUGUUGUUCCAUUACUCCUUUGGAAAGCAUGCCCCUGCUCCUGGCUGUGAGAAACCUGGCACUGCUGAGUAAUGAAAAAGAGCUGGACAAUGAAGAAUGUAACAAGACAGUGAGUUGGGUCAAGCAGCUUCACCACAGCAGCAAGUGUUCCUAACUUGUACACUGGUGACCAACUCUGCCAUGGAGAGAUGAGUUGGUUAAUGAGAUGAAAUAAGGAAUCCCUUUGACUUCCACCUGUUUUCAUAUGGCACUUAGCUCUCUAUUCCAGGCAUGCCCAACCUGCGGGCCUCACGCUGCCCGGCCCAGCCCCUCCUGCAGCCGUCUCCUGUCCCGUGCCAUCACGGCAGCGGCUCUGCCCUGCUAAGUGACCCGGCCCUCUCUGUGCACCCAUCACUGACACAGCCACACAGUGGUGUGAGAUUGGCUCUGCAUCAGCUCAACCAGGACAUGGGCAGGGCACAGUAAGUUUGCAGAUGAGGGAGUGUUGAUCUGCCUGAGGGGAGAAAGGCACUACAGAGGGUCCUGGAUAGGCUGGACUGAUGGGCUAAGGUUAACUGUAUGAAUUUCUGUAGGGCCAAGUGUUGGGUCCUGCAUUUUGGUCACAACAACCCCAGGCAACCUUACAGGCUUGGGGAAGAGUGGCUGGAAAGCUGCCUGAUGCAAAGGGACCUUGGUGUACAGAUAGACAGUCAGCUGAAUACGAGCCAGCAGUGUGCCCUGGUGGCCAAGAGGGAUAAUGGCAUCCUGGCUUGUGUCAGGAAUGGA